rnacentral:rRNA from 1 species
GACGAACGCUGGCGGCGUGCUUAACACAUGCAAGUCGAACGAAGUGGCGAACGGGUGAGUAACGCGUAAUCAACCUGCCCUUCAGAGGGGGACAACAGUUGGAAACGACUGCUAAUACCGCAUAAUGAAGGAGGGGAUUGCGUCUGAUUAGAUAGUUGGCGGGAGAACGGCCAAACAAGGCGAUGAUAAUUAGCGGGUCUGAGAGGAUGAACGGCAACAUUGGGACUGAGACACGGCCCAGACUCCUACGGGAGGCAGCAGUGGGGAAUCUUCCGCAAUGGACGAAAGUCUGACGGAGCAACGCCGCGUGAGUGAUGACGGCCUUCGGGUUGUAAAGCUCUGUUAAUCGGGACGCGGUACCGGAAUAGAAAGCCACGGCUAACUACGUGCCAGCCGCCGCGGUAAUAC